rnacentral:rRNA from 1 species
GUAAUCUUUUAAAAGAGAUGUUUAAAAAGCAUUUGCAUCUUUCCUGUUUUGUUGGGGCGACAGAAAUAUAAGUUAAAUUUUUGUAACUGUUUAGUAAAAAAAUAAUUUUAAUUAGUUUUUGAUCCUUUAUUAUUGAUUAGAAGAUUAAGUUACUUUAGGGAUAACAGCGA